rnacentral:lncRNA from 1 species
AAAACAUAAUUCAUUGUAACACUUUACGUGGAAUAUACAACUUAUCACGUAAAGUUGGCAACAUGGACAUCAAAUAUGAAACGGGUGAGAAUAUUUGAGAAUUUUGGCUUUAUCCAAAACAUGCAACAUCGUACGUCAAACGUGAAAUCCUACCGUAAGACAUGCAACAACUGACGUUAAACAUGAAACUUGCAACUCUUCACGUGAAAUAUACGACUUAUCACGUUAAGUUCGCAACAUGGACGUCAAACAUGAAACGGACGAGAAUAUUCGAGAAUUUUGGCUUCAUCCAAAACAUGCAACAUCAUACAUCAAACAUGAAAUCCUACCGCCAGACAUGUAAUAACUGACGUUAAACAUGAAACUUGCAACACUUCACGUGAAAUAUAUGACUUAUCACGUCAAGUUUGCAACAUGGACGUCAAACAUGAAACGAUCGAGAAUAUUCUUUAUUUUGGCUUUAUUCAAGACAUGCAACCGUUACGUCUGACAUGCAAUCAUUACAUCUGACAUGCAACAACUAACGUUAAACAUGAAACUUGCAACACUUCACACGAAAUAUGCAACUUAUCACGUAAAGUUCGUAACUUCAACCUCAAACAUGAAACGGACGAGAAUAUUCCAGAAUAUUCUUUAUUUUGGCUUUAUUCAACACAUGCAACAUCUUACGUCAAACAUGAUAUCCAAUCGUCGAAUAUGCAACAACUGACUUUAAACAUGAAACUUGCAACACUUCAUGCGAAAUAUGCAACUUAUCACGUAAAGUUCGCAACUUCGACGUGAAAUAUGAAACAGACGAGAAUAUUCUGGAAUAUUCUUUAUUUUGGCUUUAUUCAACACAUGCAACAUCUUACGUCAAACAUGAAAUCCAACCGUCGAAUAUGCAACAACUGACGUUAAACAUGAAACUUGCAACAUUUCACGCGAACUAUGCAACUUAUCACGUAAAUUUCACAACUUCGACGUCAAAUAUGAAACAGACAAGAAUAUUCCGGAAUAUUCUUUAUUUUGGUUUUAUUUAACACAUGCAACAUCUUAUAUCAAAGAUGCAAUCGAGACGUCAGACAUGCAACAACUGACGUUAGACUUGAAAUACUAUUUUUUUCAUUUUCAAUUUCUGUAUUUUUUGCCAUUUUAUUUAAUUAUAUUAUAUUGUAUUAUAGGGUUUCUAUUAUAUUAUUUAAUUUCUUUAUCUUUUGCUAUUAAUUAUAUUAUAAAAAAUUAUUUUUGACAUUUUAUUUAUUUUUAUAUUGUAUUUUUAAUAUAUUUUUUUUAAAAAAUAUGGUGCAACCGGUUUAUUAACCGGCUGCACCAACAGCCAGGCUCUCCUUUUGAGAGCCCGGCAUGGUGCCGGGUACAAUGCCAACGGCAUUGUAGCCAAACCCGGCAAAGAAUGAUGAGCCUGGUGGUCAAAGAGAGGUUGACAAGGAGGGUCGGCCUGUAAUACAGCUCUGUAUGUCAUGCAGCUGCCUUUAUUAUUUUUUAUUAUUGCAGAUGUAACCGACCAUCGAUAUCAAUUAUGAAACAGGUAAAUAUUAAAGGUAAUUAUCAUACAGCUACCCUCAUUUCAAAUAAAUAUCAAAAUAAUCAGUUCAAAGUAGAACACUACCAAAGAACCCCUCAAUUUAACUUGAAAAUACACUACUUUCUUUUUUUUUUUUCUCCGAAUAACAUGAAAACACACGUAAAACAUAUGAGACUUCUAUACUAAUUAGAAUAAUAUUUAAAUAUAAAUUAAUAAAUUGACCAAUUAAUUUUUAAUAUUACAUUAUAAAGUUAAGAAUGUUUUACAUAAAAAAAAUUAUCAUAAUAUUUUAUCAAUUUUUAGAUAAUACAAUGUAGUAUAAAUAUUUAGACCUAUAAUAUUUCUAUAUUAGACAAGUAUAAAAAAUCUAAUGUUUGAUAUUUUUAAAUAAUACUAAAAAAAAAUCUCUUGUGUAAAUUAAUUCAUAGAAAUUAAUGUGAAAUUAAUUACUUUAUUCAUUAUAUUAUGUAUUACUUUUAUGAUUUUAUUUAUUCACUAUUUUUAAGUCACAAUAAUUUCUACAAAUACUUGUAAUGGACAAUUAAGUACGUGUUGUUAAUUUUUAAUCUAUUUUUAUUAGUGUUAUUGUGAUUAAUGAUAUCAUAAUUCAUACACUAAGCCUUUUUCCUUUUUUAAUGUUGUUAAUAACUCCAAUGGGCCUUUAGCCUAGCGGUGAAUCUCUACCCUCACAGUUAAGCAAGAUUGUGAGGGUGGGGGUUUGAGUUCUCAUGGACUCAAACUCUCUGAAUUAAACAUUAUGCAUUAUCGUGUGGAGUUAUUUGCAAGUCUUUUUCCCUUGCGAAAUGUGAGUGGAGCAAAGAUAUCCCUCGUUUGUGAUAAUUUGAUGUGUAAUCAGUAUUAAAAAAAAGUUGUUAAUAACUAUCAUGGCUAGCACUUGGUCAAUAUUAAUUCGAUUAAACUAAAUUCAGUUAUGACAUUAUUAUUUUUUUAGUAAUAUUGUUAAUUUAAUAUUAUUAUUUUAGGGGUAUGGUUGGGAGAGGACAAAUAUAACUUUUUAACUCUUACAAUCUCUCAUGAGUUUUACUCGGUAGCAAUAAAUGAAGAAACCAUCCAACCGUCCCCUUGGAGCUGAGUAAUAUUGUUAAUUAUAAUUACAAUUCUUAUUCACAUUGCAUUGUAAAUAUUAGAAAAAGAGAUAACAACGAGCCCGUGUUUUGUGAAAUUGUCUCGAAGACCCUUAUUAUUUUAAAAAAUAAUCACAUAUUCCUCUUUUUAGACAAUUAUGUCCUUUAGCUAAAGUGACCCACCGAUAUUCCAUAUGAACAUAAUUAUUCAAAACAAGAUUUAUAUAAAAGUUUCACUAAAUCAUGAGGUAUCAUUAUACUUUUUGUCAUAACCUUGGGUAAUUACAAUCUAAAUACUACUAAUAUUGAAUAAUUUAGAAACGUUUUUAAAUUAAAUCAAAU